rnacentral:rRNA from 1 species
UACGGGGGGGGCAAGCGUUGUUCGGAAUUACUGGGCGUAAAGGGCUCGUAGGCGGCCAACUAAGUCCGACGUGAAAUCCCCAGGCUUAACUUGGGAACUGCAUCCGAUACUGGAUGGCUUGAAUCCGGGAGAGGGAUGCAGAAUUCCAGGUGUAGCGGUGAAAUGCGUAGAUAUCUGGAGGAAUACCGGUGGCGAAGGCGGCAUCCUGGACCGGCAUUGACGCUGAGGGGCGAAAGCUAGGGGAGCAAACGGG